rnacentral:rRNA from 1 species
UACAGAGGGUGCAAGCGUUAAUCGGAUUUACUGGGCGUAAAGCGUGCGUAGGCGGUUCGCUAAGUCGGUUGUGAAAUCCCUGGGCUUAACCUGGGAACUGCAGUCGAUACUGGUGAACUAGAAUGCGGUAGAGGGUGGCGGAACUCCGGGUGUAGCGGUGAAAUGCGCAGAUAUCAGGAGGAACACCGGUGGCGAAGGCGGGUCUCUGGGCCGAUACUGACGCUGAGGAGCGAAAGCUAGGGGAGCAAACAGG